GGCUCGUGCGCAAAUCCUGCCCCCUCAGCCCGGCCGGGUCGCCGAGCGUACAUGGGAGUCAACGAGGCUUGUCGUGUAACUUCCAGGCAUUUCGGACUCAUGCAGCGUUAUGUUUCAGUGUUUUACUUCUGGGGAGAUGAACCUCACCUGAGGGAAUUAUUAAUGCCUUCCAGCUCUCAGGGGAGUCCCAUGGAGCACAUUCCUGAACUUCACAGACUCAUUCCUUGCCUGAAGAUCCCCUUUCAUGCCAAAUAUACAUGAAUGAAACACACCUCAUACAAUUCCCUGAGAGGACUGAAGAUUAAAGAGAAACCUGUUCCAUUCAACUCAAGAGAAUAACCUCAGAGUCUUAACCCUUGGUUGCUAAUGGAAUGACAUCAGAAAGCAGCCAUCAACA